rnacentral:rRNA from 1 species
GUGCCAGCCGCCGCGGUAAUACAGAGGGUGCAAGCGUUAAUCGGAAUUACUGGGCGUAAAGCGCGCGUAGGUGGUUUGUUAAGUCGGAUGUGAAAGCCCAGGGCUCAACCUUGGAAUGGCACCCGAUACUGGCAGGCUAGAGUACGAUAGAGGAGUGUGGAAUUUCCUGUGUAGCGGUGAAAUGCGUAGAUAUAGGAAGGAACAUCAGUGGCGAAGGCGACACUCUGGAUUGAUACUGACACUGAGGUGCGAAAGCGUGGGGAGCAAACAGGAUUAGAAACCCCGGUGUCC